rnacentral:rRNA from 1 species
UGGGAGUAAAGUCGUAACAAGGUUUCCGUAGGUGAACCGUGGUGACUGCGAAGGAUCAUUAGACAUAUCAGGGAGGCCCUUUCAGGUUCCCCGAGCAAACAACCCCAUGUGUACACUUCCAUGUUGCUUCCCCAGGCCAGCGGCCACUGCUGCCAGCCCGACCCCUCCGGCGGUCGACCACGGGCUGAGGUGCCUGGGGGAGGGCCCAUCCCCAACACGUCGCUCAUCAAAGCAGUCUGAGCAGGCAGUCGGCCUGAAUCAAGUAACAUGUUAAAACUUUCAACAACGGAUCUCUUGGCUCUCGCAUCGAUGAAGAACGCAGCGAAAUGCGAUAAGUAAUGUGAAUUGCAGAAUUCAGUGAAUCAUCGAAUCUUUGAACGCACAUUGCGCCCUCUGGCAUUCCUCAGGGCAUGCCUGUUCGAGCGUCAAUACAAACCCCCCUCACCCUCCUGGUGGUGCUGGCGGAGGUGGGUCGCCCUCCCGGCGACAGGCCCACCCCGUCGAAACUCAUGGGCCCGAGAGCCGACGGCUGCGACUGACAUUCCAAGCGCUUUGAAAGCCAGAACCAGUCCGCGCCGAAGUCUCGCGGUGCCCCCACUGGGCCUCCCGUCCAGCGCAACACUCUGGGUUGACCCUCGGAUCAAGGUAGGGAUACCCGGCUGAACUUAAGCAUAUCAUAAAAGCCGGGAAGAGAAAA